rnacentral:tRNA from 5 species
GCCCGGAUAGCUCAGUCGGUAGAGCAGGGGAUUGAAAAUCCCCGUGUCCUUGGUUCGAUUCCAAGUCCGGGCACCA